rnacentral:rRNA from 1 species
CCCGACUGCUAUUUGGGUGAGGAUAAGCCAUGCGAGUUGUAUGGGAUACCUAAAUUUUCCCAUGGCAAACUGCUUAGUAACACAUGAUCAACUUACCCUAUGGGGAAAAAUAACCUCGGGAAACUGAGGAUAAUGUUUCAUAGGUGAAUAGGCUUGGAAAAGUUUUUCAUCGAAAAGGAUAAGAAAAAUGGUUUUUAUCUGUCAUAGGAUAGGAUCGUGGUCGAUUAUGGUUGUUGGUGAGGUAACGGCUCACCAAGCCGACAAUCGAUAGGGGCCGUGAGAGCGGGAGCCCCAAGAUGGGUACUGAGACAGCGACCCAGGCCUUACGAGGCGCAGCAGGCGCGGAACCUCCGCAAUACACGAAAGUGUGACGGGGUUACCCAAAGUGUUCUUUUAAGAACUGUGGUAGGUGAGUAAUAUCCCCUACUAGAAAGGAGAGGGCAAGGCUGGUGCCAGCCGCCGCGGUAAAACCAGCUCUUCAAGUGGUCGGGAUAAUUAUUGGGCUUAAAGUGUCCGUAGCCGGUUUAGUAAGUUCCUGGUAAAAUCGGGUAGCUUAACUAUCCGCAUGCUAGGAAUACUGCUAUACUAGAGGGCGGGAGAGGUCUGAGGUACUACAGGGGUAGGGGUGAAAUCUUAUAAUCCUUGUAGGACCACCAGUGGCGAAGGCGUCAGACUGGAACGCGCCUGACGGUGAGGGACGAAAGCCAGGGGAGCGAACCGGAUUAGAUACGUUGGUGUUAUUUGAAUGUAAUGUAAGAAUUACUAACACAAUGCUAAAAACCCGGGUAGUCCUGGCCGUAAACGAUGCAUACUAGGUGAUGAUACGGCCAUGAGCCGUGUCAGUGCCGUAGGGAAACCGUUAAGUGUGCCGCCUGGGAAGUACGGUCGCAAGGCUAAAACUUAAAGGAAUUGGCGGGGGAGCACCACAAGGGGUGAAGCCUGCGGUUCAAUUGGACUCAACGCCGGGAAACUUACCAGGGGAGACAGUAGAAUGACGGUCAGAUUGACGACCUUACCUAACGAGCUGAGAGGAGGUGCAUGGCCGUCGCCAGUUCGUGCUGUGAGGUAUCCUGUUAAGUCAGGCAACGAACGAGAUCCGCACCUUUAUUUGCCAGCAAGAAGUUACGACUUCGUUGGGAACACUAAAGGGACCGCCGUCGAUAAGACGGAGGAAGGAGCGGGCAAAGGCAGGUCAGUAUGCCCCGAAACCCCUGGGCUACACGCGGGCUGCAAUGGUAUGAACAAUGGGCUGUGACUCCGAAAGGAGAAACCAGUCCCGAAAUCAUAUCACAGUGGGGAUUGUUGGCUGUAACCCGCUGACAUGAACGUGGAAUCCCUAGUAAUCGUGUGUCAUCAUCGCACGGUGAAUACGUCUCUGCUCCUUGCACACACCGCCCGUCGCUCCAUCCGAGUGUACUAAAAAUGAGGUUUGGUCAGUCUGGUCAUAUCGAAUUUCUAGUAUGCGAGGAGGGAG